AGGUCGUGAUUCUUCAUAACAACAUCCGCUUGACCUCGCAAUGCCAUGAAGAAGAAAGGCGUGGAACAUUUGCUUAAGAUCUUCAGCAGAUGUUUGAGAAAAAAAAUCAUCAUCCUCUUCGUCACUCUUCAUCCGUAUUUGGGGUAACAAACACCUGCUUCCCACAAGAGACUGGACCUCUGAAGUCAGAUAAUUUUACUGGUACAAUGUUGGAUGGAUCAUCAGACCUGCACCUUCCUUGAACAUGUUGGUAACUUACUCUGUAUUUGUUCACGGUGGUCACCCCAGGGUUUCAGGACUCAAAACGAGUGCUCUAUGGAUUGAACAGAAAAUGUGGAUCAACACUCCAACCAUCUGCAUUAGGGACUGAAUAAAGGAUGCCCUCUGUAGCUGGGAAUGUUAGAUCAGCUUUGCCCCAUUCAGCAACAUGAGCAACUGUGACCAUCGACAACAGGAAGUGGGCAUGUCCAGCUAUGCCACAACGUUGAGGAAAGUUCAACUUGAUGAAGGACUUUUGGGAGAAACUACCAAUGAGAGUGAAGCA